CGGGGUAUAGCGCAGCUGGUAGCGCGCUGCGUUCGGGACGCAGAGGCCGAGAGUUCGAGUCUCUCUACUCCGA
rnacentral:tRNA from 1 species